UACGUAGGGGGCUAGCGUUGUCCGGAAUCAUUGGGCGUAAAGCGCGCGUAGGCGGCCCGGUAAGUCCGCUGUGAAAGUCAAAGGCUCAACCUGUGAAUGUCAGCGGAUACUGCCGGGCUAGAGUCCGGAAGAGGCGAGUGGAAUUCCUGGUGUAGCGGUGGAAUGCGCAGAUAUCAGGAGGAACACCAACGGCGAAGGCAGCUCGCUGGGACGGUACUGACGCUGAGGCGCGAAAGCGUGGGGAGCGAACAGG
rnacentral:rRNA from 1 species